rnacentral:rRNA from 1 species
AGAGCGAACGCUGGCGGCAGGCCUAACACAUGCAAGUCGAGCGCCCCGCAAGGGGAGCGGCAGACGGGAGAGUAACACGUGGGAACGUGCCCUUUGGUUCGGAACAACACAGGGAAACUUGUGCUAAUACCGGAUAAGUCCGUAAGGAGAAAGAUUUAUCGCCAAAGGAUCGGCCCGCGUCUGAUUAGCUAGUUGGUGAGGUAACGGCUCACCAAGGCGACGAUCAGUAGCUGGUCUGAGAGGAUGAUCAGCCUCACUGGGACUGAGACACGGCCCAGACUCCUACGGGAGGCAGCAGUGGGGAAUAUUGGACAAUGGGCGCAAGCCUGAUCCAGCCAUGCCGCGUGGAUGAUGAAGGCCCUAGGGUUGUAAAGUCCUUUCGACGGGAAGAUAAUGACGGUACCCGUAGAAGAAGCCCGGCUAACUUCGCGCCAGCAGCCGC